rnacentral:rRNA from 1 species
AACGUAGGAGCCAAGCGUUAUCCGAAUUCACUGGGCGUAAAGCGCGUGCAGGCGGCUCGAUAAGUUGGAUGUGAAAGCUCCCGGCUCAACUGGGAGAGGCCGUUCAAUACUGUCGGGCUAGAGGGCGGCAGAGGGAGGUGGAAUUCCCGGUGUAGUGGUGAAAUGCGUAGAUAUCGGGAGGAACACCAGUGGCGAAGGCGGCCUUCUGGGCCGUACCUGACGCUCAGACGCGACAGCUAGGGGAGCAAACGGG